CUCAAGGUUCUGGUAAUCUCCUGC
rnacentral:siRNA from 1 species